rnacentral:rRNA from 1 species
UUAGGUGGCCAUGGCGAUGGGGCUCACCCCUUACCAUUCCGAACAGGGAAGUUAAGCCCAUCUGCGCCGAUGGUACUGCUACACCAAGUGGGAGAGUAGGAAGCCGCCUUCUUCAAAGUCCGAUACAUUACGUAUCGGACUUUUUUUAUGCCCUAUUUU